rnacentral:rRNA from 1 species
GUGGGGAAUUUUGGACAAUGGGCGCAAGCCUGAUCCAGCAAUGCCGCGUGCAGGAAGAAGGCCUUCGGGUUGUAAACUGCUUUUGUACGGAACGAAAAGGCUCUGGUUAAUACCUGGGGCUCAUGACGGUACCGUAAGAAUAAGCACCGGCUAACUACGUGCCAGCAGCCGCGGUAAUACGUAGGGUGCAAGCGUUAAUCGGAAUUACUGGGCGUAAAGCGUGCGCAGGCGGUUUUGUAAGACAGAGGUGAAAUCCCCGGGCUCAACCUGGGAACUGCCUUUGUGACUGCAAGGCUGGGGUGCGGCAGAGGGGGAUGGAAUUCCGCGUGUAGCAGUGAAAUGCGUAGAUAUGCGGAGGAACACCGAUGGCGAAGGCAAUCCCCUGGGCCUGCACUGACGCUCAUGCACGAAAGCGUGGGGAGCAAACAGGAUUAGAAACCCUAGUAGUCC